rnacentral:rRNA from 1 species
GACGAACGCUGGCGGCGUGCCUAAUACAUGCAAGUAGGACGCACAGCCUAUACCGUAGCUUGCUACACCAUAGGCUGUGAGUUGCGAACGGGUGAGUAACGCGUAGGUAACCUGCCUAUUAGAGGGGGAUAACUAUUGGAAACGAUAGCUAAUACCGCAUAACAGUAUGUAACACAUGUUAGAUGCUUGAAAGAUGCAAUUGCAUCGCUAGUAGAUGGACCUGCGUUGUAUUAGCUAGUAGGUAGGGUAAUGGCCUACCUAGGCAACGAUACAUAGCCGACCUGAGAGGGUGAUCGGCCACACUGGGACUGAGACACGGCCCAGACUCCUACGGGAGGCAGCAGUAGGGAAUCUUCGGCAAUGGGGGGAACCCUGACCGAGCAACGCCGCGUGAGUGAAGAAGGUUUUCGGAUCGUAAAGCUCUGUUGUUAAGGAAGAACGAGUGUGAGAAUGGAAAGUUCAUACNGNGACGGNACUNACC